UGCGUUACUCCCCGCACUGAAGGCUCUGCAACCCAUCUUUAAAGCCAAGAUUCGUAAAGAGGGAAGAGGCAAGUACAGCCCGCAGCAGCUGUGUGUGCUGGACAACAUCAAAGUGAACCUGAGGAGAUUCAUCGGUUACCUGGAGAAAGUGGUGAAGAAGUAACGAGCGCUGGACCUCACGGUGGUGUGGACAGAGAUGCUAACGGUAGCAUCAAAAGAAUCAGACUGUGGUUGUGAGACCAUCAAAUAUUUAUUAUGUUGGUAGUAAGCCGCCUGUUUCAGUGUUAAUAUUCUCAAAAUAAUAAUGAUUUACAAUUUUACCUGUAUUUGUUGUGAAGAAAGACAGGAUUAUUUGAGUUAUUAGUUACUGCAAGUGGCAGUAAAGAAAGGUUUUUAUUUGUCUUCCCUUGAUUUAAAUGUGACAAUCAGGACCAAAUGUUUGUCUUGGAUUUGUUCACUUUAAUUUCCCAAAGUAAGUACCUCUACACCCCCAGGUUUUGAUUUGGGUCCCCUUAAUUCUGCCACUUGUUCCAAUAGCCUAAACGUUGAUGUUUGCAGAGCUAUGCUACAUAAGAUUUAUCAGUAUGGGAUAAUUGCCACCUAAUAAAAAAGAGAAUAUUUAGUUUUAUUGUUUAGUGUAAACAUAAUUUAUCUUUGGAAAGAAAUUGGCUUGCAUUUGAAGAGAGAAAUAAAAAAAUGACUGUCAUUUUAAUAUCGUACGAAGCGACCUGUUCUCACUGCCAAGGUGUUAACAUAAACAUUUUUACAUUUUUACCGUUAGGAGGAACACAUUUUCUCACAAUCCAGGCUCCCUGUUUUCACGGAGAGCUGAAUUUGUUAAUGUAUUUUUGUGAAACUUUUCAGUCUGCAAGUCACCACAGAAACCCAUUUUCUACUGAAAGCAUGUUUUUCAGGAACAAAGUGAAUAUCAAUUAUGAAUGAAAUCAAUUAUCAUCCAAACUUGCUGCUACAACUUAGAAUAUACAGUUUGCUAACUGCAGGUUUGAAAUAUGUAAAUGGAGGGUAGUAGUGCCAUCUUUUUGCACCUGAUCCAAAGUUUACCCUGCUUUGAGUUUCUGACAGUUAAUUUAUUAGCUCUCAUUCAUUAAUCCAUUCAAUGCUCAAACUGAAUGGUGACUUUAAACCAUAAAUACAAUUUUCCUAAAGACCAAAAUGAAGUGUGUGAUAGUUAGUUCUUACGUUGUAAGAGUCGGGCACAGCUUCUGGUUUCCCACAAGUUUUCAGGGACAUGUUGAUAAAAAUGCCUAUCAUUAAUAUAAAAACACAUUUCAAAGAAAAUGUAGGGGGGGUUUAUGUCUUUGGGAUGGGAUUUAAUGCCUUUUUGAAAUAAAUCCUGAUUUCUUAAG